CCUACGGGUGGCAGCAGUGAGGAAUAUUGGUCAAUGGACGGAAGUCUGAACCAGCCAUGCCGCGUGCAGGAAGAAGGCUCUAUGAGUUGUAAACCGCUUUUGUCCAAGAGUAAACCUUAAUACGUGUAUUCCGCUGAGAGUACUUUACGAAUAAGGAUCGGCUAACUCCGUGCCAGCAGCCGCGGUAAUACGGAGGAUCCCAGCGUUAUCCGGAGUUAUUGGGUUUAAAGGGUGCGUAGGCGGUUUUGUAAGUUAGGGGGGAAAUGUCCGGGCUUAACUCGGGAACUGCCGCUAAUACUGGCGAUCUAGAGUGGGGAUGAGGUAGGCGGAAUGUAUGGUGUAGCGGUGAAAUGCUUAGAGAU
rnacentral:rRNA from 1 species